AAUUAAUUUCGAACGGCUUAAAGAGAAUUUAAGGAUUUUAAAAAGAUUUAAAACUAUAUUUUAGUUCGCGUUAUUUAAGUGUUUUUGGAGAAAAACGGGGAAAAAAUCGUUAAAAAGGUGUGUUCUUUCUUCUUGAUAGAUCAAGGUUAAAAUUUCAUUGUUGAUGUUCAUCUGAGUCGAACUUGCGGUUUAGUAUUAACGGUAAGACCUUAUUAAAAAAGAUUAACAAUAGAGAAACGUGUAAAAUUUCAACAGUAAACGUAAUUCUGAAUGAAUUCUUUUUUCUCUAGAAUAAACGAUGGAGAGUGUUAGAAUAGAGAGAGAAAAAAACCCUACUAGGAACUCUUAGGGUCUUAAACAGAAUGGUUUUGAUGAAACAUCAAUCUUUAUUUUUCGCAAACAGGCAUAUGACUGCACUUCUAUCGGAAGGUCAACAUUCGACUGUUGUUGCGAUGGCAACGUCUGGAAAAUCCCCGAACGUUUGAACGAACUCUGUUUCUCUUUUGCUACUAAAAAGACACGAUGGAUUUAUUUUUGGAUGCCAUUCAUAAUAUUCUAUGCAAUCAUUAAUGUUCUUUGAAAUGUUUGGAAGAGUUUUUGACUAUAUUACAAUCUGCGAUCCAUCUUAUCUCUGUUUCAAUCACAAGAAACGUAUAAUGGAAGGUAGAAGGGUAAGUUUGGUACUUUAUGCCUCGUUGCUUUACCGGUGUGUGUCGUUUAAAUUCGCAAAAACUGUUUCGCACUUUUCAAAUUGUAUACGUCGACGUGUUUUUUGAUUGAUGACGAGGAGGGCAAACAAAAUUCUUAAAAACGUUUAAAAAUCUGCAUUUAAUCCCCCAAAAUAAUAAACUACGCAAAACCUUUACUGCAGAGUAAAUUGUACUUUUUAUAGGAUAAAAAAAAAAAACUAUGAGAUAACUAAUGUUUACUUUAGACUGCGAUCUGAUUAUGACAGUUUUAUUAUUAUUGGUCUAUUAAGGGGAAAGAUGUAAUAAAAUGCAGUAAUCUUCUGUUUAAAAACGUUCCGUUAGAAAUUUGUAGCUGUUUACUUUCGUUUAUAAAAGUAGAUUUAGAAGAUGCCAGUUCAAAUUCCAUUGCACACAUUACUGCAGACAUGUUUAAAGACUGCUACAGUAGGAGGAGGGUAAUUGUAAUCACAGCAAUGAUAAUAUAAUGAAAUGUUUGUUGUGGUUAUAGUAUAUUAGACGAAAUAAAAAUUUUAUGAAGCAAAUUUGUUAAAUAAAAUUUAUCUAAAAAAUUAAACAUUCUGUAGAACAAAUAUAUUUUAGAAUACAUCAUUAAAUCCGUUAAAUGCACAGCAUUAAAAAAAUAUUAUAUAUAUAUAUUUAUUUUAUUGAAAUUAGCAACUU
rnacentral:lncRNA from 1 species